GCUGGGCAUGGUGGCGCAUGCCUGUAAUCCCAGCUACUCAGGAGGCUGAGACAGGAGAAUCACUUGAACCCAGGAGGUGGAGGUUGCAGUGAGCCAAGAUUGCACCACUGCACUCCAACCUAGGCAACAGAGCGAGACUCUGUCUCAA
ensembl:misc_RNA Metazoa_SRP Metazoan signal recognition particle RNA